UGAGAACUCUGGAGAAGGAACUCGGCAAAUUGACACCGUAACUUCGGAAGAAGGUGUGCCUUUAGUAGGUGAUCCAUUUACUUGGUGAGCCCAAUGAGGCCGCAGAGAAUCGGUGGCUGCGACUGUUUAUUAAAAACACAGCACUCUGCAAAGACGAAAGUCGACGUAUAGGGUGUGACGCCUGCCCGGUGCUGGAAGAUUAAAUGAUGGGGUGCAAGCUCUUGACUGAAGUCCCAGUAAACGGCGGCCGUAACGAUAACGGUCCUAAGGUAGCGAAAUUCCUUGUCGGGUAAGUUCCGACCUGCACGAAUGGCGUAACGAUGGCCACACUGUCUCCUCCAGAGACUCAGCGAAGUUGAAAUGUUUGUGAUGAUGCAAUCUCCCCGCGGAAAGACGGAAAGACCCCAUGAACCUUUACUGUAGCUUUACAUUGGACUUUGAACAGAUCUGUGUAGGAUAGGUGGGAGGCUUUGAAGCGGUGCCGCUAGGUGUCGUGGAGCCAACGUUGAAAUACCACCCUGGUGUGUUUGAGGUUCUAACCUUGGCCCGUGAUCCGGGUUGGGGACAGUGUAUGGUGGGCAGUUUGACUGGGGCGGUCUCCUCCCAAAGCGUAACGGAGGAGUUCGAAGGUACGCUAGGCACGGUCGGAAAUCGUGCUGAUAGUGCAUUGGCAUAAGCGUGCUUGACUGCGAGACUGACAAGUCGAGCAGGUACGAAAGUAGGACAAAGUGAUCCGGUGGUUCUGUAUGGAAGGGCCAUCGCUCAACGGAUAAAAGGUACUCUGGGGAUAACAGGCUGAUACCGCCCAAGAGUUCAUAUCGACGGCGGUGUUUGGCACCUCGAUGUCGGCUCAUCUCAUCCUGGGGCUGUAGCCGGUCCCAAGGGUAUGGCUGUUCGCCAUUUAAAGAGGUACGUGAGCUGGGUUUAAAACGUCGUGAGACAGUUUGGUCCCUAUCUUCCGUGGGCGCUGCAAGAUUGAGAGAGCCUGCUCCUAGUACGAGAGGACCGGAGUGGACGCACCUCUGGUGUAUCGGUUGUCACGCCAGUGGCAUUGCCGAGUAGCUAUGUGCGGAAGAGAUAACCGCUGAAAGCAUCUAAGCGGGAAACUCGUCUCAAGAUGAGUCUUGCCGGGGCCUUGAGCCCCCUGAAGAGUCGUUCUAGACCAGGACGUUGAUAGGCUGGGUGUGGAAGCUGGGUAACCAGUUAAGCUAACCAGUACUAAUUGCUCGUGCGGCUUGACUC
rnacentral:rRNA from 1 species